rnacentral:tRNA from 1 species
GGAGCUGUGCCCGAGGUUUAGGGGUUACCUUGAUAGGGUAACAAACGAGGACUAAAGCCCCUCCAGCUCCU